AACGGCCGCGGUAUCCUAACCGUGCAAAGGUAGCAUAAUCACUUGCCUAUUAAUUGUAGGCUAGAAUGAAUGGGUUAACGAAAUAAAGACUGUCUCAAUUAAUCACCUAAAAAUUAAUAUCUACCUGAAGAAGGGUAAAUAACCUCGAAGGACAAGAAGACCCUAUAGAGCUUAAUUUUAAUUAUAGAACUAUGCUAUAAAAAUAUUCGGUUGGGGCGACCCAGGGCUAAUCAAUCACCCACUACAUAAAAGAUAAAUUAAUCAAAUAAUUGACCCCUAAAAGAUCAUAAGAACAAGCUACCUUAGGGAUAACAGGCUAAUCCCACUCAAGAGUCCUUAUCAACAGUGGGGUUUGGCACCUCGAUGUUGGCUUAGG
rnacentral:rRNA from 1 species